rnacentral:rRNA from 1 species
UACGGAGGGGGCUAGCGUUGUUCGGAAUUACUGGGCGUAAAGCGCACGUAGGCGGCUUUGUAAGUUAGAGGUGAAAGCCCGGGGCUCAACUCGGAAUUGCCUUUAAGACUGCAUCGCUAGAAUUGUGGAGAGGUAAGUGGAAUUCCGAGUGUAGAGGUGAAAUUCGUAGAUAUUCGGAAGAACACCAGUGGCGAAGGCGACUUACUGGACACAUAUUGACGCUGAGGUGCGAAAAGCGUGGGGGAGCAAACAGG